rnacentral:rRNA from 1 species
UACGGGGGGGGGCAAGCGUUGUUCGGAAUUACUGGGCGUAAAGGGUUCGUAGGUGGCCCGCUAAGUCACACGUGAAAUCCCUCAGCUUAACUGGGGAACUGCGUGUGAGACUGGCAGGCUUGAGUGCAGGAGAGGAACGCGGAAUUCCAGGUGUAGCGGUGAAAUGCGCAGAUAUCAGGAAGAACACCUAUGGCGAAGGCAGCUCUCUGGGACGGUACUGACGCUGAGACGCGAAAGCGUGGGGAGCGAACAGG